rnacentral:rRNA from 1 species
UGGGGAAUAUUGCACAAUGGGCGCACGCCUGAUGCAGCCAUGCCGCGUGUAUGAAGAAGGCCUUCGGGUUGUAAAGUACUUUCAGCGGGGAGGAAGGGAGUAAAGUUAAUACCUUUGCUCAUUGACGUUACCCGCAGAAGAAGCACCGGCUAACUCCGUGCCAGCCGCCGCGGUAAUACGGAGGGUGCAACCGUUAAUCGGAAUUACUGGGCGUAAAGCGCACGCAGGCGGUUUGUUAAGUCAGAUGUGAAAUCCCCGGGCUCAACCUGGGAACUGCAUCUGAUACUGGCAAGCUUGAGUCUCGUAGAGGGGGGUAGAAUUCCAGGUGUAGCGGUGAAAUGCGUAGAGAUCUGGAGGAAUACCGGUGGCGAAGGCGGCCCCCUGGACGAAGACUGACGCUCAGGUGCGAAAGCGUGGGGAGCAAACA